rnacentral:tRNA from 1 species
GGGGUAUUAGUAUAAUGGACACUACACUAUCUUGUCAAGAUAAAAAUGUAGGUUAAAAUCCUACAUACCCUA